GCGUUGGUAGUGCAACGGUUCAGCAUGAGCCCCCCUGAUAGGGUGAAAUAGGGGUUCAAAUCCCAUCUAACGCA